GUCUUGCUUCCUUUGACAACACAUAUACUAACAUUGGAACGAUACAGGGAAGAUUAGCAUGGCCUCUUCACAAUCAGAUAUGCAAAUUCAUUUAGCAUUCCAUAUUUUU